UUUCUUCCACUAGCUGUCUCAUGUCUUGGAUGAGACCAAAAGUCACACUCAGCACCUUGCAAUGGUGAAUAACAUCAUCCUGACCCGCUUUGACUUUUGGACUCUGGGUUUGCAGCGGGACAUGGAGGGAACGAUCCUGAACUCUUGUCUCAAAAUGAUUGAGAAGAGAGUAGAGAACCUGUUUGCUGCAGACAGCUAUGUCAUUUCCACUUGGUUCCCACCAUCAUCGAGGAACGCCAUGGAUCACCUUCCGGAUAAUGCAGCCAGUCUACAGUGGAUUAUUCUCCCAGUGUCCGUACCUGGACAUUGGACACUCAGUACACGUUGCUCACAGCCUCUCUUCUGGCCCCUGGAGAGAGCUUGGUGUGAAUGAUGUCCAGGGCCUAACAAAGCAAGGGUGCUCCAACAACUGUGGCGUGUUUGUUUUGAUGUACACUCUGUACAUUGUAAUGGGGGCCAAUUGUGAUUUCAGCGAGGAUAAUGCAGCCAGUCUACAGUGGAUUAUUCUCCCAGUGUCCGUACCUGGACAUUGGACACUCAGUACACGUUGCUCACAGCCUCUCUUCUGGCCCCUGGAGAGAGCUUGGUGUGAAUGAUGUCCAGGGCCUAACAAAGCAAGGGUGCUCCAACAACUGUGGCGUGUUUGUUUUGAUGUACACUCUGUACAUUGUAAUGGGGGCCAAUUGUGAUUUCAGCGAGGAAAACAUGCUGCAAAUUAGGAGAUGGUGGUGUCUCGCUCUCCUGCAGAACUUCCCCAUGCCGUCUGAGGAAGACCGAUUGCACGACAGGAAACGGCGACGACUGCAAGGAGGGCUACAGACACUGGGAAAUUGACGGACCUGGAAACCGGGAACAGGGUUGCUUGCUAUGGGCAAGAUACUUGAUAAUACCUUGAUACUUGCCUUUGUCAAACAUUUAUGGAAGCUUUU